rnacentral:rRNA from 1 species
GUGUCAGCAGCCGCGGUAAUACGGAGGGUGCAAGCGUUAUCCGGAUUCACUGGGUUUAAAGGGUGCGUAGGCGGGUAGGUAAGUCAGUGGUGAAAUCCUGGAGCUCAACUCCAGAACUGCCAUUGAUACUAUCUAUCUUGAAUAUUGUGGAGGUAAGCGGAAUAUGUCAUGUAGCGGUGAAAUGCUUAGAUAUGACAUAGAACACCCAUUGCGAAGGCAGCUUACUACGCAUAUAUUGACGCUGAGGCACGAAAGCGUGGGGAUCAAACAGGAUUAGAAACCCCAGUAGUCC